CGAAGAAGAAGAAGAAGAAGAAGAGAGCAAAACGCCGCCGUUAGGAAUCAGGUGUUUGAUUUUUUUGCGUUAGAGUUGGAAUGUGCGAUGAGUAAAGAAUAAUGUCCAUGAAUCAUGUGCACAAGUUCCAUGCUUGGCUUAUCAAAACUGGCCAACAGAAUCACCCUCCCUACCUUCGUCGCCUCCUGCUAUGGUGCGCUGCUACACCAUCCCCAAAGAGCUUAUCCUACUUCCGAGCUCUCUUUGCGUACAUUCCUUCUCCGGACACCUUUGCUUAUAAUUCCAUCAUCAGAGCUCAUGUAGCAGCUCACACUUCUCCUUCCCUUGCAGUCUAUUUCUUUACCCUAAUGCGUCAACAAGGUGUACCACCUGAUAACUUCACCUUCCCAUUUCUUCUCAAGGCUUGUGCUCGCCUUCAGUUGGGUCAUGAUGUCCAUGGACUUAUCCUUAAGCUUGGAUUCCAUUCAGACAUAUAUGUUCAGAAUGCAUUAGUUAGUUUUUACGGGGGUUGUGGGUUGGUUGAACCUGCAUUGAAAGUGUUCCAUGCGAUGCAUGAGAAAGACUUGGUUUCUUGGUCAUCCAUGAUUUCUUGUUAUUCCAACAACGGCUUUUCAAACGAGGCUGUUGCAUUAUUUCAGCAAAUGCAGCUUGCCAAGAAUGUAAUGCCAGAUGAAGUCACUAUGCUCAGUGUGAUAUCCGCUGUUUCAAGCAUAGGGGCGCUGGAAUUGGGUCAGAGGGUUCAUGACUGUAUAAGCAGAAGUGGACUAAAACUUACUGUCUCAUUGGGUACUGCAUUAAUUGACAUGUAUUCACGUUGUGGAGCCGUUGAUAAAUCUAUUGAAGUGUUUGAUGAAAUGCCAUUGAAGAAUGUACGGACAUGGACAGCACUGAGUACGGGCCUUGCAGUGCAUGGCCGCAGUAGAGAAGCUCUAAGGGUCUUUUAUGAGAUGAAGAAAUCUGGCAUGCAGCCAGAUCAUAUGUUUAUUACUGGGAUUCUAGUGGCAUGUAGUCACGGUGGACUUGUGGAAGAUGGUUGGAAAGUUUUCAAAAGCAUGAAGGAUGAGUAUGGCCUGGAGCCAAUGCUUGAGCAGUAUGGUUGUAUGGUUGACCUCCUUGGCCGGGCUGGUUUGCUUUGCGAAGCCUAUGAUUUUGUGGAGAAAAUGCCAAUCAGGCCAAAUUCUGUCAUUUGGAGGACCCUUCUCGGAGCAUGUGUAAAUCAUAACCAUCUUGUGUUGGCUAAGAAAGUGAAGAAGAGGUUGAACAAGCUAGAUCGUUAUCAUGAUGGUGAUUAUGUGCUUUUAUCUAAUGCUUAUGGGAGAGCUGGUAGGUGGGUAGAAAAGGCCAGUGUUAGGAAUUCAAUGAGGGCAAGUGGAAUUAACAAAAAAGCUGGCUCUAGUUCAGUUAGUGUAGAGCAAAUCACUCAUGAGUUCAUUUCGGGGGAUAACUCUCAUCCCCAAUCACAUGAUAUUAGAGAUUUCUUAGACAAAAUACUUGAAAGUAUAAAAGACACAGGAUAUACUCCUCUUACAUCAAACGUUUUGCAUGACAUUGAAGAGGAGGAGAAAGAGCAUACUCUUGGUUAUCAUAGUGAGAAAUUGGCUGUGGCUUUUGCACUUAUGAGUGUCAAUGAUACUAGGACCAUUAGGGUCAUGAAGAAUAUCCGAAUCUGUCAUGACUGUCAUUCCUUCAUGAAGCAUGUUUCAGCUAAAUUUAGUAGAGAAAUUAUUGUUCGAGAUCGAAACCGGUUCCAUCAUUUUAUUAAUGGAUCAUGUUCUUGUAAAGAUUAUUGGUAACAGAUGGUCUGUACUUGCUCAGCUCUUCUGUUGCCUCGUAAUACUAUCAGUCAUCAGCCUAUCAAUUUGUAUGACCACAUUUUAUACUCUAUGCUUUCCGUUUUAUGGUAGCAAACAAAAACAUAUAUAUAGCAAACAGCUUUUGGUCCAAUACACUGAGCGAAGAAAUGAAGGAAGAAGAAGUGAAUCGAUGCCAGAUACAAGAAUGGUACCCAAAGUUUAAAUCUGUGUC